UUUUUUUUUUUAAAAGUUGUACAGACCAGGACUUGGAUUAAAAAUGCAAAUCGGGGUAAGGAUGGUAAGAAAGAAGACAUUCCUGUAUUUUCACCAGUGAAAGAUCAUCACACUAAUCCUAACGAUUUCCUGGGGGAGUAUUAGGGUAAAGUAAGCAAAUACUUUCCACAAACAAGGAUUAUAAAGAGGCCCCAAGUUUAUGUAAUCAAGAUAAGGAAUAUUUUAAUGCAAUAUUUAAAAAGAGAAAAUUCUAAAUUUGAGGAACAAAAUCUCAAAUUAAAAAAAAGACAAUAUUGACCCUGUACUUGCAACUCCCUGAGAGUUUUUCAAAGGAAGCUUUCAAGUUGUCAUCGACAUUUGGGCAAAUUCCUUUUAAUUUAUAAAAUUCUUACCAAAAACGUUUUAAAAGGUCUGACCUACUACAUGUCCCAACAGCUUAUACAGGAAGUGAAAUCAUUUUUCAAACAAUACAGUCAAGGUGGAGUCCUGGAAACAGUCUUUCAGUAACCUGACUUAAAUAUCAUUAAAAAACUGUCACAGAGCCAGGAGAACAUGUCAAACAUGGAAAUUCUCUCAAUUAAUGCCAAGUUUUUAAAAAAUCUUGAAAAUAUUAAUAUUAAUUUAAGGCUUCCAUUAAAGUCUGGAAGGUAAAAUUACAUUAAAUGAUUGUUUUAGUUUAAAAUAAGUAAAGUUUUGGAGUUCCUAUGUGGCACAGCAGGUUAAGGAUCCAGCAUUGUCACUCACUGUGGUGGCUAGGGUCAUUGCUGAGUUCCAUCCCUGGCCCUGGCCUGGGAAAUUCCCUAUGCUAUAGGUAUGGCCAAUAAAAAAAAGUAUAGCACUGGAUAAUAUCAAGUCACUUAGGAUGGAGCAUGAUGGAGGAUCAUGUGAGAAAAAGAAUGUACCUAUGCAUGUGUGAUUGCGUCACUUUGCUGUACAGAAGAAAAUUGACAGAACACUGUAAACCAACUAUAAUGGAAAAAAAAUUUAAAGAAAUAAAUAAAAAUUUUAAAAAGUAAAAUUUAAAGUUUGAUAUAAUGCUGUUUUAAUAUUCAAAUAUAUUGUAAUAUUCUGUUUAAUAUUUUAAAAUAUUUCAAUAAAAUAUUAAAAUACAAAAAUAAUGUAGAAGUACUUAAAUUACGCAGAUAUAAAUGGAAUUAAAAAUAAAUUUAAUUAAAAAUAUUAAAAGUAAAAUGCUACGAGUUUUUAAACAUUCCUACUUUACAGUUCUUUAAUACUUUCUCCUCCACUUUAACGUUGUAGCCUUGAAAGACACCAGGAAAGUCACAGCGAAUCUAGGGGCACAGCUUCCCCAGCCUUAGCACCACUGUGGAGAGGAUCCAACUCAUACCCAAGGCAUCCCCAACGCCCCCCAACCCUCCCACCGCCAUCGCGUUCCCGUUUCUGUGAGCUGCACCUACACUGCGCCCGAAUCAGUAAAAUCGGCUACAAAUCGCUCUCGUUCUGAGCCGCACACCCCUCAGAUUCUUGGGUAAAAACGGCCUCGCUAAACUUUCUGUGCAAAAAUAACACAGAAAAUUCAGGCGAACGCUCAGAAAAUGCAAGGUUCCCAGAUCCCUACCAGACAGAAAUGUCGCUGGUCAAGCCGGGACUAGCCUCGCUCUUCAGCAGUCAGGGACUCAGAAAGGAAGGUUGUUCGUGCACUAUUAAAGCAGCACCAACUUGCUCCGUAAAGAUCAGCUCUCUCUCACUGCCAGCCUCACGGAAACUACAGCCUCUGAAAGUCCGUGUUUCCAAAACAAACCCCAUAAAAGGACAUCCUGCGCCCUCUUGCGGCCGCCUAGAGAAGCACCUUGCCCUGGGUUGGGGAAGGAACAAUGGGAUCUGAGCCUAGGCUGAGACCUACACAAACCAGGGCUCACAGCAAGGAUGGCUCCUUAACCCACUGAGCGAGGCUAGGGAUAGAACCUGCAACCUCAUGCUUCCUAGUCAGAGUCACUAAUCACCAAGCCACAACGGGAACUUCCAAUUUUGGUUCAAAAUAAGCAAAGUUUUGGAGUUCCUUUGUGGGGCAGCAGCUUAAGGAUCUUGGCAUUGUUACUGCCAUGGGUUGUAUCAUAGCUGUGGCUGAGGUUCCAUCCCUCGCCCUGGCCUGGAAACUUCCCCUUGCCAUGGGCUUGGCAAAAAAAAAAAAAAAAAAAAAAA
rnacentral:lncRNA from 1 species